GUGAGUGGCGGCGCGGUGCGUGCCGCGGGCUGAGCCCCCGCAACGGGCUUCCUCCUGCGGAGAGAGGCGCGCGGCUCCGCUGCCAGCCCCUGCGCGUGGCCGGCGGUGGGGGCAGCCCCGGUGGGAACGGGCUGUGCCGGGCAGCGGGUUGCGGCGGCUUUGUUCCCGCACGCGCCGAUCCCGCGCCCCGCCGCGGGGAGGGGGUGUUGCUGGGCCCUCCGUCCUGGGCAGCGCCGCGAGGCGUGCCGGCACACGCGCCGAGGAUAGCUGUUUUCAAAGGAGCGUUGCUCGAGUUCGGUGUCCCUUCGCCGCGUGCUCGAGUGCGUGUUUCCUCCCUCCCGUAGCAGAAGUUGGCUUAAACGAGGCGGGCGCUGCUUUUUGAGGAGAAAAAUCACUACAUCUGCAUUCCGAGAUCAGGGAUUGUAGUUAGUUAGUAAUUGCACGAAAUGAGCGGAGCCCGUUUUGAAUCGUACCCAGUUGUGUCAUGAUUCCACUACAGCCAGAUCUCGACACUGCAUUAAUGACUUCAGAGUGGAUUAUCUCGCAUUGGCAUGUAACAAAUGAUUGUCCAGGCCAUCCAAAUGGGCAAAUGGUUGAUGUUGCAGAGACUUGUUAAAAAAGGGCAAGAUUUAAUUUCAUGUAAAUGGAUUACACCUGGAAAUGGUAUUUCUGAUGCAUAGGUAAAUCCGAAGAGAGCACUUCCUUAUGUUUGCCCCCCUACAGCUCUCCUUCCUCGUGGCCUCAGGGGCAGGGUGGAAAAGGCUCUGCUUUCUCAUUCUGCUUUGGAUGUGGCAUUGGCUGCUACAGCCAUGUCCUUGCAAACAUACGCUGCUUCAAACAAGAAAAAUCUAUUACGUAAAAGAGGGUUGACUGGGGUCCUCAGGAGGAUGGCUUAGUUUAAGUGGUACUCUGAAAACAGAGUUCUCUUUGCAGAACUUCUGCAUGACAAAUUGCCUUCAGUCGGAUGUUCACUGUUGCAUGGUCUGCUGUACUCUAGACUGAACUUCAUUUUCGCAAAUGGCCUGUUACUGUUACAGAAAUAUUUUGUGAACUGAGUGCAGCAACACAUAGCAAGGCCCCAGUUCCACAGCAGUACACAGUUAGACAUAACUUUGUAUAUGCUAGUAGUUUAUGGUCUUUCUUAUUUGUCUAUGGGAGGUAUAGAUUCACUUGAGGGGAGAAGAGUGUCCCCUGCAUUAUCCAUCCCUUUUCACAUCUAACCUUUUGGACUUCUAAAGCAGAAAUUAUUGUAAAAUAAUUUUUAUUUUAUUUUGUUUUGUUUUUAUUUAUCUAUUUUACUGUUUCAAGUAAGUUAAAAAGCAGCUGGAUGUGCUUGAGUCUGAACGUCUGGUGUUAUCUCCAGAAGAGGAUCUUGUACUGAAGAGGUCUCUCCCCUGCUUAGCAUCCUCACAGGAUCUCUGCCUGUUUAAGGAGGGGCAUGGAGCCAGCCACCCCUUAUAAAGUGAUCUCUGUGCCCUGGGAGCCAGGAAAAGUCUGCACGGAGUUUCUAUGCCUUGGCACAACCAUAGCCUUGCAUAGGCAAUGUGGCAGUGGAAGGGUCUGUGUGCAUUGUGUGAGUGAUGUUUGGCUUUGACCAUGCAUGAGUAUUCAAGCCGAGAUAGAUCUGUACAAGAAAAGCAGAAUAAAACAGUGAGUUUCUAUUGCGAAUACACACACCUGUGAGAAAAGCAGCCCUACUGUGCUAAUGAUAACGGG
ensembl:lncRNA